GACGGUUCUCAGGUGAUGCACCUCGGAAUCGGGCUCCCUCCUGUCUGGUUCUGGGUGUGUCACCUGAGAAGCA
rfam:Myotis brandtii contig185371, whole genome shotgun sequence.